GAACGCGAAGAUCGCCGAGCUGACGAAACCGAAACCGGCACCGCGUGCGACUCGAAGCAGAAGCGCACCGGCGCAACCGUCACAAGCUCGCGCAAGAGACAGAGCGACUCUUCUUCCAUGCAUCCGAAAGUACGAAGGCGCGUACACGACAAACACGGGCAACGGAUACUUCGGCGC
rnacentral:misc_RNA from 1 species